UUUUCCUUCUUCAGAAACUACCCUAAACAAGGAAGCUCGUGUUCCAAGGUAAGAGAAUCUGAAACGAAAAACUCAGGACCCCUCACGAGCACGCUGCUUUCAACCAGGAAGUUCAAGGGAGGCAGGGCUGUAAGGUCAAAACUGCAAAGCCGAAGCUCAAGACUGACUGUAAGCAGAAAGUGGUCUUCAGAGAAAAGGAUUCACCCAAAUCGAAGAGCAUAUCGUUUCGCGUCAGGGACACUCUUCUCCACACCUUCUACCUCCAAGUCUUGCGCACCUACCCUUCACGUCUCUCCAAAGCAACUGAAUGAAAGCGCCUACUGGCCUUGGCGGCGCAGGUCCCAAGAUUUUGACUAGUUGGUUAUAUGACUAGAGUUGCUGGACUUCAAGUAAUUUUAUUUUAACUAUUAAACUGAAAGCAGCAUGUUACCAAAGAAUUUACUGAGAAGAAGCAAAGUAGUACUUGGAAGAACUCUAA